GGGGGGAGGCGACCACAGCGUGAUGCCCGCCGGUCUCAACGUCCCUCUCCUUCCCAGCUGGAGCGAGCGAGGAGGGAGAAGCGGUCACGAAUGCCGUCCGCCUCACUCUCAAAUUCAUCGGGAGGAUCAACUCUUGGAGUUUCUCAACACCGACGGUUAAAUGACUACGAGCGCAAGUUUGAAGAAAUUGACCGUCGGCUUGCCCAGCU
rnacentral:lncRNA from 1 species